rnacentral:rRNA from 1 species
GAAUAUUGCACAAUGGGGGGAACCCUGAUGCAGCGACGCCGCGUGGGUGAAGGAGUACUUCGGUACGUAAAGCCCUAUCAGCAGGAAAGAAAAUGACGGUACCUGACUAAGGAGCCCCGGCUAACUACGUGCCAGCAGCCGCGGUAAUACGUAGGGGGCAAGCGUUAUCCGGAUUUACUGGGUGUAAAGGGAGCGUAGACGGCAGUGCAAGUCCGGAGUGAAAGCCCGGGGCUCAACCCUGGGACUGCUCUGGAAACUGUAAAGCUGGAGUGCGGGAGGGGCAGGCGGAAUUCCUGGUGUAGCGGUGAAAUGCGUAGAUAUCAGGAGGAACACCGGCGGCGAAGGCGGCCUGCUGGACCGUAACUGACGUUGAGGCUCGAAAGCGUGGGGAGCAAAC